rnacentral:rRNA from 1 species
UACGAAGGGGGCUAGCGUUGCUCGGAAUCACUGGGCGUAAAGCGCACGUAGGCGGAUCUUUAAGUCAGGGGUGAAAUCCUGGAGCUCAACUCCAGAACUGCCUUUGAUACUGGGGGUCUCGAGUCCGGGAGAGGUGAGUGGAACUCCGAGUGUAGAGGUGAAAUUCGUAGAUAUUCGGAAGAACACCAGUGGCGAAGGCGGCUCACUGGCCCGGUACUGACGCUGAGGUGCGAAAGCGUGGGGAGCAAACAGG